GGGUUGUGAGGUUAAGCGACUAAGCGUACACGGUGGAUGCCCUGGCAGUCAGAGGCGAUGAAGGGCGUGCUAAUCUGCGAUAAGCGCCGGUAAGGUGAUAUGAACCGUUAUAACCGGCGAUACCCGAAUGGGGAAACCCAGUGUGAUUCGUCACACUAUCAUUAACUGAAUCCAUAGGUUAAUGAGGCGAACCGGGGGAACUGAAACAUCUAAGUACCCCGAGGAAAAGAAAUCAACCGAGAUUCCCCCAGUAGCGGCGAGCGAACGGGGAGGAGCCCAGAGCCUGAAUCAGCAUGUGUGUUAGUGGAAGCGUCUGGAAAGGCGCGCGAUACAGGG
rnacentral:rRNA from 2 species